rnacentral:ncRNA from 1 species
UUUAAAACGAAGAAUGAGAGUAGUAAAUAUAUUUUCUUACUAAAGCGAUUCAGGGAUAGUGAGAGCCUGAAGUUUAGAGGUAUAUUGAAUGGACUCAUGAGUUUAACUUUGAAUAUAAGUAGAGGUUAACGUAUAUCCAACGUUAAAGGAUAAAGAGGGUCAAAGAUUGACCAAUGAGAGUGGUACCACGGAAGUAAAGCCUUUCGUCUCUUCU